UACAAGUUGAUCAUGGCUCAGCUGGAACACCUCCUUAGAGUUGAUCAUGGCUCAGGCUGGGUCACCUCCUUAGAGUGAUCAUGGCUCAGGACGAACGCUGGCGGCGUAGCCUAAUACAUAGCAAGUCGAGCGAACAGAGAAGGAGCUUGCUCCUUCGAUGUUAGCGGCGGACGGGUGAGUAACACGUGGGCAACCUACCUUAUAGUUUGGGAUAACUCCGGGAAACCGGGGCUAAUACCGAAUAAUCUAUUUUACUUCAUGGUGAAAUACUGAAAGACGGUUUCGGCUGUCGCUAUAAGAUGGGCCCGCGGCGCAUUAGCUAGUUGGUGAGGUAACGGCUCACCAAGGCGACGAUAGCGUAGCCGACCUGAGAGGGUGAUCGGCCACACUGGGACUGAGACACGGCCCAGACUCCUACGGGAGGCAGCAGUAGGGAAUCUUCCACAAUGGGCGAAAGCCUGAUGGAGCAACGCCGCGUAGAGUGAAGAAGGUUUUCGGAUCGUAAAACUCUGUUGUAAGGGAAGAACAAGUACAGUAGUAACUGGCUGUACCUU
rnacentral:rRNA from 1 species